AAACCCUUGAACGGCGGUAAACGCUCGUUAACGACCGGAUCAUUAUUUUAAUUAUUAUUAUUAUUGUACGUGAACACGAGCUAAUUCCCCGGUGAAGGGAAGGGGGGCGAAUCUUCGCAUCUGAUGCCCAGCAUCCAGGUUUCGGUAUUUACAUAAUCCGAGUGUUUCCAUAGUCACACCGGAAGCGGCGAUUUAAAAACCAGAUCGCUUUAUGUAACGCCGCGAUGGAUGCGCAGCCCCCGCGCGCUCCCCCCGCCGCCCCGCACGCUCGACAACGCCGAAAGCGCGGGGGUCCGCGGCCGAGGGGCAGCAACGAGUCCAAUGCGGGGGGAUGCAGGGUAGGCCCGGCGGAGGCCGGUGACGCUGCCCCGGGGAAGCUGCGGCGGGCGCGGAGACGGGGCUGGAGGCGGCGGGGACCGGCCGUGCACAAGGAAAGGAAUGUUUCUGUCAAAGCCACAACACUGAGGCUCGGAAUCUCAAAAUGACACACCGGUCUGGUUUGGAAAAGGGCAUGAGAUUAAAUGCCUUUGCUGAUUCUCCAGCAAAGGCAUUUCAUUUUUUUCAUACUGUUUCUGUGAAUGAAAUACAAACUCAGCAGAA